CGACCCCAGGUCAGGCAGGAUUACCCGUUGAGUUUAAGCAUAUCAAUAAGCGGAAGAAAAGAAACUUACCAGGAUUCCCCUGGUAACGGCGAGCGAACCGGGAAAAGCCCAGCUUGAGAAUCGGGUGCCACCGGCGUUCAAAUUGUAGUUUGGAGAAGCGUCCUCAGCGGCGGACAGGAUCCAAGUCCUCUGGAAAGGGGCGCCGGAGAGGGUGAGAGCCCCGUCGUGCCCGGACCCUGUCGCACCAUGUGGCGCUGUCUACGAGUCAGGUUGUUUGGGAAUGCAGCCCUAAUCGGUCCCUAAAUUCUGUCCAAGGCUAAAUACGGGUGAGAGACAGAUAGCGAACAAGUACCGCGAGGGAAAGAUGAAAAGGACUUUGUAAAGAGAGUCAAAGAGUGCUUGAAAUUAUCGGGAGGGAAGGGGAUGGGGGCCGUUGAUGCGCCCCAAUCGGAUGCGGAACUGCGAGAGCCGGUCUGCCGAUCGGCUCGGGGCGUGGACCGACACGGGU
rnacentral:ncRNA from 1 species